rnacentral:rRNA from 1 species
UCCGUAGCCGGUUUGAAAAGUUCCUGGUUAAAUCUGGUAGCUUAACUAUCAGUCAGCUAGGAAUACUAUCUUACUAGAGGGUGGGAAAGGUUUGGGGUACUUCAGGGGUAGCGGUGAAAUGCGAUAAUCCUUGGGGGACCACCAGUGGCGAAGGCGCCAGACUGGAACACGCCUGACGGUGAGGGACGAAAGCCAGGGGAGCGAACAGGAUUAGAUACCCUGGUAGUCC